AUAUCAUGCUUUGUGGUGGCUCAGAUGCAACAAUUAUACCUAUUGGCUUUGGGGGGUUCGUGGCAUGCAGAGCACUUUCACAAGGAAUGAUGAUCCUACGAAAGCUUCACGACCUUGGGAUAUGAAUCGGGAUGGAUUUGUGAUGGGGGAAGGAGCUGGUGUUCUACUUUUAGAAGAACUAGAACAUGCUAAGAAAAGAGGUGCAAAUAUAUAUGCGGAAUUUCUUGGAGGGAGCUUUACCUGUGAUGCCUAUCACAUGACUGAACCACAUCCUGAUGGAAUUGGCGUCAGUCUCUGUAUAGAAAAGGCAUUAGCCCAGGCUGGGGUGUCUAAGGAGGAUGUAAACUACAUAAAUGCACAUGCUACGUCCACCCCAGCUGGUGACCUUAAAGAGUAUGAAGCUCUCAUGCGUUGUUUUGGCCAAAAUCCUGAAUUGAGAGUGAACUCCACAAAGUCCAUGAUUGGCCAUCUACUGGGAGCAGCUGGUGCUGUGGAAGCUAUUGCAGCAAUACAGGCAAUACGGACAGGAUGGAUUCAUCCGAACACCAACCUGGAAAAACCAGAUGAAGGCGUGGAGACAAAAGUUCUAGUUGGCCCAAAGAAAGAGAGAUUGGAAGUUAAGGUUGCAUUGUCUAACUCAUUUGGGUUUGGAGGCCAUAAUUCAUCAAUACUUUUUGCGCCGUACAAGUGAUACAAGGCUACCUCAACUUGGCUGUAUCAAUGCAAAAGAUACUCUGGAGAGGAAUGAAUUAGAUGGCUCUGUGGAUUGGUAAAGGAGAAUAUUCAGAGUCAACGAAGUGGGAAAUGCUUUAGCUUUCAGAAUCUUUUCCUCUUCAGUGGGGCUUGAUCAACUAUUGAACCACCGAAUCACA
rnacentral:misc_RNA from 1 species